CUACGGGCUGCACCAGUGGGGAAUAUUGCACAAUGGACGAAAGUCUGAUGCAGCAACGCCGCGUGGAGGAUGACACUUUUCGGAGCGUAAACUCCUUUUAUAUAGGAAGAAGAUGACGGUACUAUAUGAAUAAGCGCCGGCUAACUCCGUGCCAGCAGCCGCGGUAAUACGGAGGGCGCAAGCGUUACUCGGAAUCACUGGGCGUAAAGAGCGUGUAGGCGGAUUAAAAAGUCAGAAGUGAAAUCCUAUAGCUUAACUAUAGAACUGCUUCUGAAACUCUUAAUCUAGAAUAUGGGAGAGGUAGAUGGAAUUUCUGGUGUAGGGGUAAAAUCCGUAGAGAUCAGAAGGAAUACCGAUUGCGAAGGCGAUCUACUAGAACAUUAUUGACGCUGAGACGCGAAAGCGUGGGGAGCAAACAGGAUUAGAUACCCCAGUAGUC
rnacentral:rRNA from 1 species